UUUAAAAAGCAUGGAUAGAACAGAAAAAUCGACCAAUAAGUAAUAAAGUCUGCCAAUCUUUUACUGUAUUAUCUUCAUAUAAAUAUACCUGUUGAACAAUAAUGAUCAACCAAAACCUUCUACAAAAAACACUGCACCAAAAUGAAAUUUAAUCCAAAACUUCACAAAUGAAACACAGUUAGAGACAACUAGCGUUGGCUUGCACACAUUUGCAACCGUCUUGCGUAAAAACUACGAAUCAGCGAAUACGGUUCAAGUGAGCAAACGGUCCAGGGACGGGUUUUACGGUAGCAGCUUUAGCAGCAACUUCAGGGCUUCCAAAAACAUUCCAGAAUCUCAAGGUCUCGUCUCCGGCAGCAGAAGCAACAGUGCAUCCAUCAGGGCUCUGCAAAAACAAUAUUAGAUUACAGUUAGACUUUGACUUUGACCAAUGUUUGACUCUGACUAUGAAUUUGAUUUGACUUUGGCCAUACCUGUGUCAUGAACAGAACUCUGGAUGUAUGACCAGUGAGCUCAACCAUCUUGACCAUUGACGGAUACUUCCAUAGAGUCAACUGGUUCUGAGUGAACCCAUGUGAGCUCAGCAGCUCGCGCUCAUGCGUGUUCCAUAAAAGCGCGCAGACCUGUGACCCGGUAUCCACUGAGUUCAAGCACGAACCGGUGUGCGUGUUCCAAAACUUUAUGCAUCGGUCACUGCCACCACCUCCAGAAGCAAGAAGAUUGGCUUGAAACGGACACCAAGCGAGUGCUUUCACCGCUGCAGUGUGAUCCUCCAGCCUAUGAAGCCAGUCGGUACGCGAAUUAACCGAAGCCAUUGAUCGGUCCCAUAUGUGGAGGAGAUUGUCGUUGCCCCCGCUCGCUAACUGCCGGCCGGAGGUUGACCAUUUUAACCCGCAGACUUCUUGGUGGUGACCAGAGUAAGUCUCCACGAUAUGCGAUCGGAUUCGGACAUCGUUGUUUACGAUCCGACCGUCCAUUCCCCCGGUUGAGAGAAUGUGACUGUUCCAAUCUAACGACCCGACACGUGAAUCAUGGCCGCCUCUCAAGAGUUGGAUUUCAGAAUUGUUUAA
rnacentral:lncRNA from 1 species